rnacentral:rRNA from 1 species
AUUGAACGCUGGCGGCAUGCCUUGCACAUGCAAGUCGAACGGCAGCAUGAUCUAGCUUGCUAGAUUGAUGGCGAGUGGCGAACGGGUGAGUAAUACAUCGGAACGUGCCCUGUAGUGGGGGAUAACUAGUCGAAAGAUUAGCUAAUACCGCAUACGACCUGAGGGUGAAAGUGGGGGACCGCAAGGCCUCAUGCUAUAGGAGCGGCCGAUGUCUGAUUAGCUAGUUGGUGAGGUAAAGGCUCACCAAGGCGACGAUCAGUAGCUGGUCUGAGAGGACGAUCAGCCACACUGGGACUGAGACACGGCCCAGACUCCUACGGGAGGCAGCAGUGGGGAAUUUUGGACAAAGGGCGAAAGCCUGAUCCAGCAAUGCCGCGUGUGUGAAGAAGGCCUUCGGGUUGUAAAGCACUUUUGUCCGGAAAGAAAUGGCUCUGGUUAAUACCUGGGGUCGAUGACGGUACCGGAAGAAUAAGGACCGGCUAACUACGUG